UUAUCUGGCACAUUCAGCGCAAUGUGAAACGCAUGGAAAAAUUUGGUUCUAUCUGUAGAGAUAAAAGUUUCAGUAAACAUGACUCAUUGAUCAACCAACCAAGUGAUUUUCCCAUUAAUACUCGAAAAAAGAAUCAAAAUAAGUACGGGAAAAGGCCCUCUAAAUAGGUAGAAAGACCAAAAACAGAGGAAGGACCACGUGCAAACACUCUGAUUGUCAAAACAGAGGACACAAAUACGCAGACUCAGAUCCCACAAUUGCCACCAAGUAACAU